GACGAACCGUCCGAACGUUAUUCGGAAUCACUGGGCUUAAAGGGUGCGUAGGCGGCGCGGAAAGUUGGGUGUGAAAUCCCUCGGCUCAACCGAGGAACUGCGCCCAAAACUACCGUGCUCGAGGGAGAUAGAGGUGAGCGGAACUUAGGGUGGAGCGGUGAAAUGCGUUGAUAUCCUAAGGAACACCGGUGGCGAAAGCGGCUCACUGGAUCUCUUCUGACGCUGAGGCACGAAAGCUAGGGUAGCGAACGGG
rnacentral:rRNA from 3 species